UACGUAGGGGGCAAGCGUUGUCCGGAUUUAUUGGGCGUAAAGAGCGUGUAGGCGGCUAGGUAGGUCCGUUGUGAAAACUCGAGGCUCAACCUCGAGACGUCGAUGGAAACCAUCUAGCUAGAGUCCGGAAGAGGAGAGUGGAAUUCCUGGUGUAGCGGUGAAAUGCGCAGAUAUCAGGAGGAACACCAGUAGCGAAGGCGGCUCGCUGGGCCACACCUGACGCUGAGACGCGAAAGCGUGGGGAGCGAACAGG
rnacentral:rRNA from 1 species